rnacentral:lncRNA from 1 species
AGUCAUGAAGGAUGAGAAUGGAAUUGUGCCUCCUGGACACGACACAACCUGUGCACUCCUGAACCCACAGCAGCUGCGGGUGCCUGCUGAGCAGCCACCUGACUUUCCAGCAGGGACUGAGGGGUGCUUUAUGAAUCCCUACCCCAAACUGAGGAGCUAUAGAAAGUUGUGGCUUCCAAGAAACUUAGAACCAGUUUUGUAUAAGAAUGUGGCUCCUAGUAAGUCAACCGUACCCCCCAGUGGGUGGCCCCAUACCCAGGAAUAUAUGAGCGGCUUAAAUUAGAGUUGAUGGGUUAUGAAAAGACAUGAUGUUGGGAAAAUGAAGUUGGAUCCGGGAAGAGUCGGGGUGAGAAGUUGAUGGUGAGUAUGUGCAAAAUACAUUUUAUGAUAUUCUUAAAGAAAUAAUUAAAAUCUUUUUUAAUGAGG